rnacentral:rRNA from 1 species
AUUGAACGCUGGCGGCAUGCCUUACACAUGCAAGUCGAACGGUAACGGGCCUUCGGGUGCCGACGAGUGGCGAACGGGUGAGUAAUGUAUCGGAACGUACCGUUCAGUGGGGGAUAACGUAGCGAAAGUUACGCUAAUACCGCAUAUUCUGUGCGCAGGAAAGCAGGGGAUCGCAAGACCUCGCGCUGAUUGAGCGGCCGAUAGCAGAUUAGCUAGUUGGUGAGGUAAAGGCUCACCAAGGCGACGAUCUGUAGCGGGUCUGAGAGGAUGAUCCGCCACACUGGAACGGAGACACGGUCCAGACUCCUACGGGAGGCAGCAGUGGGGAAUUUUGGACAAUGGGGGCAACCCUGAUCCAGCCAUGCCGCGUGAGUGAAGAAGGCCUUCGGGUUGUAAAGCUCUUUCGGCCGGGAAGAAAUCGUAUCAGCUAAUACCUGGUGCGGAUGACGGUACCGGCAUAAGAAGCACCGGCUAACUACGUGCCAGCCGCCGCCGCGGUAA